CCUCUUUUGUAUCUAUUCCUGUUAAUGCAGUUAAUGGCGAGUGUCUUACACCAGGGUUCAAGAUGUUAAUAUUUACACUGAUCUAGUUAAAGAUUAUAUUUAUCAUGAAUCAAAAACUUAAACAAGAUAUUGAUAUUUACACUGAUCUAGUUAAAGAUUCUAUUUAUCAUGAAACAAAAAUUUAAACAAGAUAUUGAUAUUUACACUGAUCUAGUUCAAGAUUCUAUUUGUCUUGAAACAAAAACUUAAACAAGAUAUUGAUAUUUACGCUGAUUUAAUUUAAGAUUCUAUUUAUCAUUAAACAAAAAUUUAAACAAGAUAUUGAUAUUAACACUGAUCUAGUUUAGAAUUCUAUUUAUCAUAUGAGACAAAAACUUAAACAGGAUAUUGAAAUUUACACUAGUUUCAGAUUCUAUUUAUUAUAUGAAACAAACAUUUAAACAAGACAUCGUAUUGGUAUUUGCACUAGUUGAAGAUUCUAUAUAUGAUCUGAAUAUUGAAACAAGUUUCUUCUGUUCCGAAUAUACACUUUUUCAGUACAGUAUUCCAAUUAUUCCAUAAGACAAUCCUUCAGAUUUACUUCAGAUUUGAAAAGAAUAUACGUCAUUUGAAGAUCUCAAAAACUAAUAAUUUAAAAUGAACUACUGUAAAGAUAACCAAAUACCCAAUAGUGCUACAUUUGUCAAAAAGUAGUUAGAUAAUAUUGGCCAUAAUAGCGGGCUCCGGUUGCCUGUUUUUCAUGUGACCAGUCAGAAGUUUUUGUAGACUAGUCAAAAAUCUGCCACUUUAAUGUACAACUACUGCUUUCUUCAGUAUGCGAUAAUGGCAGUGUUCUACUAGCUGUGCAGACUCUGCUCCAUUUUUAUUUUUCUUUGCAUUUAUUUUUGUGUAUUUUUUUUAGAUGGUACCAUUUUGCUUUUGUUAAUGUACUCACUGCAAUUUAAUUUUACCUUAUUUAUAGUGCUUUUCUUAAUCCUUCAUAUUAGCUCACCUGUUUUAGGAAUCAGAGGUUGGGAUUGCCAUAAGUUUUACGUUGAACCUGACUUCACCGACACUGUAUGGGACAGAGUGGAUGUGACAGAUAUGAUAGUGUGUCGAUAAAGUCAGUGGUCGGUAAAGUCAGUGUUGGCAGUAAUAUUAGGGCAUGUCACCGUUCUGGUGGACAGGGUCAGAUAUUACAGGAUGUUGGUAAAGUAAGUAUUGGCAGUAAUAGUAGGGCAUGUCACCGUUCUGGUGGACAGGGUCAGAUGUUACAAGAUGUUGGUAAAGUCUAUGUUGGCAAUGACAGUGGAAUCGUGUCACCGUUCUGGUGGAUAGGGUCAGAUGUUACAGGAUAUCAGUAAAGUCAGGCUCGACAAGGACAUUGGAGAAUAUUACCGAUUUGAUGGAUAUUGUUGGAUGUUAGAGGAUGUCAUUUAAGUCAGUGGUCGCAUUGUAUUUCCUUCUGUAUUUGUACUAAUAUGCUGAAUGGUGGUGAUUGUGGAUCCCUGGGGCUCCAAUAUUAAUGCAGUACAAUCAGAAUUUUUUUGUUUUAUUCUGUGAAAUCUCUUAAUUAAAUUACUGAAAUCUAUGACUGUCAUUUCAGUAUUUGUAAUAUAAUACUUUUAUUUCACAUGGAGGUUCCUGCAUGAGAAUAAAAUAUUGUUGGAAAGAGUUCAAAAGGACAUGUUUUCCUUUCAAAUUAUGAUGAAUUUUAGAUUUUUUCUGGCAAAUUUUCCAGGUUGAUAUCUCAGAGCAGAUAAUCAAUUUAUCUACUACAUGUAAGAGAAUCAUGGAGAUUUCUGGGGUCCUUUUGGAUAUUGCUACUUUCCUUUUUUUCUUUAAAUAGGUGAGCUAUAUAUUUAUCUGUUGUUGUUCUACAACUCUCGUUAUUUAUUGCAAUUGUAUUCUGAUCUGUUGAAUUUUUGUAUCACUCUGUAUCUGUACUUAUUUGUUCUUUGUUAAUAUAUCUGUAUUAUUUGACAAGGUUUCUUUAACUACAAUUAUGCAUUUAUGUUGAGCAAUAUACUAUAUUCUAUACAAAUGUAUAACCUGUGUAGCGUUUGGAUUUAUACAGAAUAGGCAGGUGCCCUUUUUAUACAGGUUUACAUAUAUGUUAUUCACUGUCUAUGUCCAAUGUACUAAAUAAUUGUAAAUGCACCAAAUUGUCACACAGUUGUGCAUUAGGAAUAUAUGUACAGUAUUACAAAAUAAUAAAACAAAGCUUUAAUUAAUCAACACAUCAUAAUUUAGCAAUGUUUGAAGUGGAAACAAUUUCAACAUUUACAUUGUAUAGGAUAUUGAGUUAAGGACUGGUUUAUGUUUCUGAAUUAUAUUCUAGAAAUCAUUCUCCUAGGGUACUAAGUAUUUCAUUUCAUCAGUGAUGAUCUUAAAUAUCAAAACAAAGAAACCUGUUAAAUAUGGAAGUGUUCGUCUUGAGAAAUGAUUCUCCUAGGGUACUAAGUAUUUCAUUUCAUCAGUGAUAAUCUUAAAUAUCAAAACAAAGAAACCUGUUAAAUAUGAAAGUGUUAGUCUUGAGAACUGAGACCAGUACCAGGUAAUUGAGAAUUGAGAUUUUCAAAUGAUAAUAGAUUGUAUUGCAAUAACUAGUAAGAGAAAGCCUAAUCCUUUUUGCUCUGACAUCUUCCUCAUUAUUAUCCCCAACUGGUGAAACUGGACAGGCUACAGGUUUCCUCUCCCUUCACUUGUAUUUACGCACCUAAUGUCAAAAUUUGUCGGCACUCUAUGGGCUUCAUUCCUUAAGGGAUGUUGAUCAAACUUUACACAAUUGUAAAGGACCACAUUUUCUUGGACAAGUUCGAGUUACAGGGUUUUUGGGUCAAGGUCACAACAACUGUUUUUAGCGGGGGCCAGUAGGGGACAUGUAUUGCUUUAGCAAUACCCAGUACGCUUGUUUAUUUUGUUGUAUUUGAAUUUCAGUUUGUUUGGUUUUUUUUCAUUCUGGUUACUUUUUUCUUACAAAUUUUCAAGUACAUUAACAUUGAUAAAUUAACAGGAAUUGCAUACGUUCCAUACAAUGUAAUGUUUGUAUAUGUGGCUCCUUGUAGAAUUUGCUCUGUUGUUCCAUGACGCCAGAAAUGAAAUUGGUGCAGGUGAAAAUAUUGGAUUUUUAAAAUUAAAUGUAUAUUGGUACACCUGCAAGAUCAAUUUUACCAGCAAGACUGGGUAUAUACUGAUUGAAAGGCUGCAGGACAAUUAAGACUAAAUUAUUCUAUCUUGUACAUCAAUAUAUAUUAAGUAAAUUAUUUGUAAAAUAACAAAACAAAAACAAAAAUAUUUCAUUUAUAUGAAAAAAGAAACAAAAAUAGAAAAAAGUUUUUGUAUUUUAUAAAUAUGAUCAACUGGAAAUAGAUCUGAGUAUUGAUAUUGCCCCUCUGUCACCUGAUUUGAUUAGAUUUCAGGAAAUAGAAUUGGUCCAACAUCAAGUCAUCUCUGUCACCAUCUGUUGUAAACGUUAUCCUCAGUUACCUCCCCUUCCUUCCUUAUAAAGUAGAGAAAUUCUUGACUUGUUGUGUUAGUUGUUCCAAUGAAACCAUUCCAAUCACAGUCGAAAAUGGCAUAAGUAACUGAGUAUCUGAGAGAAGCUUGACAUUACAUUGAUCACAAUAUAGUAGUUGGUUAUAGGAUGUGGUAGUGAGCAGAGCGUAUGUGUUUGGUGGGAGGGGAGUGAUGGAGGGAGGGGGACCAUAAAUUUUGGAGAAAUGAGGCCACAAGCUCUGUACUCUCCCAUGUUUAGUAAUGUUAACCUUCUUAUGACUCGGAGUGUUUCACAGCAACUCGAGAAAUAAUUUGGGAUCAGUUAGCAACAAAUAUUAACGUAAAGGUGGUCAGUAUACACAGGUAGCAAUAUGAAAUUAUAGAAGAAGAAAAAUAACCCAGGGUACCGGGGAUUUUAUAAAUGCGGUAUUUUUGUAUAGGUUCAAUGGACUUCCUUUAUGGGGGGUACUUUUCAAUUUCUUUGAUUCGAAAAGUUAUGGGGAUCCUUUUCAAUUUUCAUGCUUCAAAAGGUAUGCUAGGGACAGCUUCAAUGCAAACUUUGCAAAUGCAAUAUAGGAUGUUAAUUGUAUUCCAGACAGAUAGCUUUGUUAGACAGAGUUAUAUCUCUGUAUGAGGUUGGCUUACCGUCACAUUACAACACGUAAUCUGAGAGUAUCUGCUACAACGAGCUGUUUAUGUUGUCAAUAAAUAGUGUAAUCAUA